GGGCACGUAGCUCAGUCCGGACAGAGCGUCGGACUUCUAUCCUCAUUGGGAUUGCAAUGGGGGAAGCCAUCCGAUGGUCGUGGGUUCGAAUCCCAUCGUGCCCG
rnacentral:tRNA from 1 species